CUUGCUUUCUUUGCUGGCGACCGGCGCACGGGUGAGUAACACGUAUCCAACCUGCCCUUUACUCGGGGAUAGCCUUUCGAAAGAAAGAUUAAUACCCGAUAGUAUAAUGAUUCCGCAUGGUUUCAUUAUUAAAGGAUUCCGGUAAAGGAUGGGGAUGCGUUCCAUUAGGUUGUUGGUGAGGUAACGGCUCACCAAGCCUUCGAUGGAUAGGGGUUCUGAGAGGAAGGUCCCCCACAUUGGAACUGAGACACGGUCCAA
rnacentral:rRNA from 1 species